AUUUGGGAGAGACUAUGUAUCUAUGGCGCCGAAGGGGAAAAUCAGGAAACUCUCAGGCAAAAGAACCAAA
rnacentral:ncRNA from 1 species